GUCACACGCUUCGGACGGGAGCCCAGGACUGAAGUCAGUGCUGUCUACAGGCCGAAGUCCAAGCACCAGCUGUGACUCAGGAGAGAAGCCAGUGGUCACCUUCAAAGAGAACAUUAAGCCACGAGAAGUGAACAGAGACCAAGGAAGAAGCUUUCCUCCCAAAGAGGUAAAAUCCCAGACAGAACUAAGAAAGACCCCAGUGUCCGAAGCCAGGAAAACUCCUGUCACUCAAACUCCAAGUCAAACAAAUAAUUCUCAGUUCAUCCCCAUCCAUCACCCUGGAGCCUUCCCUCCUCUUCCCAGCCGACCGGGGUUCCCGCCCCCAACAUAUGUUAUCCCCCCUCCUGUGGCAUUUUCUAUGGGCUCAGGAUACACCUUCCCAGCUGGUGUUUCUGUCCCAGGAACCUUUCUUCAGUCUACAGCUCACUCUCCAGCAGGAAACCAGGUGCAAGCUGGGAAACAGUCCCACAUUCCUUACAGCCAGCAACGGCCCUCCGGACCAGGGCCAAUGAACCAGGGACCUCAACAAUCACAGCCACCUUCCCAGCCACCCCUUACAUCUUUACCAGCUCAGCCAACAGCACAGUCUACAAGCCAGUUGCAGGUUCAAGCUCUAGCUCAGCAACAGCAGUCCCCUACAAAAGUCAUACCAGCCUUGGGGAAAAGCCCGCCUCACCACUCUGGAUUCCAGCAGUAUCAACAGGCAGAUGCCUCCAAACAGCUGUGGAAUCCCCCUCAGGUUCAAAGCCCACUAGGGAAAAUUAUGCCUGUGAAACAGCCCUACUACCUUCAGACCCAAGACCCUAUAAAACUGUUUGAGCCGUCAUUGCAGCCUCCUGUAAUACAGCAACAGCCUCUAGAGAAAAAAAUGAAGCCUUUCCCCAUGGAGCCAUAUAACCAUAAUCCCUCAGAAGUCAAGGUCCCAGAGUUCUACUGGGAUUCUUCCUACAGCAUGGCUGAUAACAGAGCAGUAAUGGCUCAGCAACCAAAUAUGG
rnacentral:lncRNA from 1 species